CGCUAUGAAGAGACUUUAUUAUUUAAGUACACAAAACGAAUGUAAGCUGUCAGUGCUUACACUUUAUGAAUUAUAUAAAAGAAAUCUGAGAAUUUUUUUCAGCUAUUUUGUUUCUUAAAUGAACAGUAGUCAAUAGAAAAAGGAGGAAACAGAGGCCUGCGACUCAUCUUGGAUGUCAGCAGUUACCUCACAUGCACAGAUUUUUUAUCUUCUCCAUCUGUAACAGGAUAGAAUCAAUAGGGUUUUUUUCCUUUAGAUGUAACAGCCAUGUGCCACCUCAAAUAUGAUGCUCAGUGAUCAAGAUGAAAAUCACUGUGUUUUAAUAUAAGCGGGGGGAGCUAUUUGUUAAAAGCUACAGGGAUUAGUCUUCAUACGACAGAAAUCAGAAAACAUACCCGCGUUGGGCAGCAAUAUGUAAGUUAAAUUUCUACGUAAGUUCCCACGUUAUAUUUCAAGCAAUUCCCUGCCGAUUUCUAUUUAUAAAAGCACAUCCGAGUCCCCAGAACAUGCACCCUCCCUGCCCACGCUUCAGACAGAAACUGAAAUGAAGCCGCAGCGUUUCGCUUCCAGCUGCCGCAAAGGCACCGCAACUUUCCUCCCGUGGCCCCCAAGCCCUCCGGCCGCGGCGGGCAGCGGGCUCGGCCCCCCGAGCACCCGCCGGGAGAGGGAAUGAGCGGGCUCGGGGGCCGUUUUAAGUAGUGCGGGCGCUGCUGCGGGAGGGCUGGCAUUACCGGUGCUCCUGCGGGGAAAGGAGCGGCGCGUCUCACCCAGCAACGCUUUCAAACAAGCGUCGUCCUUUAGAGCACAAGCCCGCUCGGAGGACGGCUGCGGGCACACACCGCACCGCCGCCGGGCCCCCUACCCGGCUGACAGGCCGCGGUCCCCCCGCCCGGCGCCUACCUGCGUCCGUGCCGCGCCGCUCCGCACCCGCGUACUCAGCGCCGGCCGCCGCGCCCCGCCGCCGCCCUCGCCGACCAGCCGCAGGGGCCUGAUGCUCUCCCGCUCCGCGAAGCGGCUCUCGCCCCGCCGCCCGGCUCCUCCUGGGCAGGGGAAAGGCACCCGUCACCUGCUGCGCCCUCGCCUCCGGCGCACAGGCUGGAGCGGGGGCUCCGCAGCAGCCCCGGGCGCAGCAUCCCCCCUUCCCCGCUGCCC
rnacentral:lncRNA from 1 species